rnacentral:rRNA from 1 species
ACGGAAGGCAGCAGUGGGGAAUCUUCCGCAAUGGGCGAAAGCCUGACGGAGCAACGCCGCGUGAGUGGAGAAGGUCUUCGGAUCGUAAAGCUCUGUUGGGAGGGACGAGAGAUUACUUCAGGAAAUGGGAGUAAGAGGACGGUACCUUUCGAGGAAGCCACGGCUAACUACGUGCCAGCAGCCGCGGUAAUACGUAGGUGGCGAGCGUUGUCCGGAAUUAUUGGGCGCAAAGGGAGCGCAGGUGGGACUUCAAGUCAGUCUUAAAAGUGCGGGGCUCAACCCCGUGAUGGGAUUGAAACUGUAGUUCUCGAGUGCAGGAGAGGAAAGCGGAAUUCCUAGUGUAGCGGUGAAAUGCGUAGAUAUUAGGAGGAACACCAGUGGCGAAGGCGGCUUUCUGGACUGUAACUGACACUGAGGCUCGAAAGCGUGGGGAGCGAACAGGAUUAGAUACCCUGGUA